CAGCCGCCGCGGUAAUGCGAAGGGGGCUAGCGUUGUUCGGAAUCACUGGGCGUAAAGGGUGCGUAGGCGGAUUCUUAAGUCAGGGGUGAAAUCCCGAGGCUCAACCUCGGAACUGCCUUUGAUACUGGGGAUCUUGAGUCCGGAAGAGGCGAGUGGAACUGCGAGUGUAGAGGUGAAAUUCGUAGAUAUUCGCAAGCACACCGGUGGCGAAGGCGGCUCACUGGUCCGGAACUGACGCUGAGGCACGACAGCGUGGGGAGCAAACAGGAUUAGAUACCCCCGUAGUCCCUGUCUCUUAUAC
rnacentral:rRNA from 1 species